rnacentral:lncRNA from 1 species
CAUUUGCCUCACUCUCUCCGAACCACAUAGUAAGCAACUCAGGGCCUUUCACACUGAUAAAAUUUGCCUGACAUUCAUUAGCUAUAGCUUUAGCCAGAAGAGUUUUGCCACAUCCAGGAGGACCAUAGAAAAGAACUCCCUUAGAAGGUGACAUUCCAAAUUUCUCAAACUUCUCGGGAUGCUCCACUGGAUAUUGAACAGUCUGUACAACAAAAAAUGAAGCAGCCAUUAAAUUCCAAAUUUAAGACCUCAAAUUAUUGAGGCAUAACCACCCCCCCCAAAAAAAAGAAAAAAAAAAAGGAACACAAAUAACCAUACCUCUUGAAGCUCUCUCUUAACAUUCUCAAGACCGCCAAUAUCUUGCCAGCUCACAUUUGGCACUUCAACCACCUGGAGGAAAAAAAAAAAAAAAACGCAGGAAUUAGAAUCAAACUCGGGCAGGAGAAUAAUACCAUGGCACAGCUCAAAAUUGGUAAGCAUCUCAAUAUUAUGCAUAAAGUCCACAUCACAUAUACUUACUGUCUCACGGAGAGCAGAUGGGUUGCUCGUUCCAAGAGCAGUGUGGAAGUGCUCAUUUGUAACUGCCAUGGAGUUGAGUAUCUCCGCAUCUAUCGUCUCAUCUUCCAAGUCAAUUACAUCCAUCUUCUCCCUGAUGCACUGAAGUGCAGCUUCAGUGCAGAGAGCAGCCAGAUCAGCACCAACAUAGCCAUGUGUGUCCUUAGCAAUUCUUUCCAGAUCAACCUGCACAGCAUUCAGCAGAAUUAUUGGAACUGAGGGGAAAAAGAAGAUAUUCAUACAACGAAUUGGUUAGGAAACAAAAAAGAAAAUCCUAUACAUCUUCAGCAAGCUUCAUGUUCUUUGUGUGAAUGCGGAGGACUUCAAGGCGCCCAACUUCAUCAGGAACUCCAAUAUCGAUUUCCCUGUCAAAUCUUCCAAAUCUUCUCAAAGCUGGGUCAAUACUGUUUGGUCGGUUAGUAGCCCCGAUAACUAUGACAUGGGCACGGGACUUCAAGCCAUCCAUGAGCGUUAGCAGCUGAGACACAAUCCUCCUCUCCACCUCUCCAUGAGUCUUCUCUCGCUUCGGAGCAAUUGAAUCGAUCUCAUCAAUAAAGAUGAUGGAAGGUGCAUUUUUCUCAGCUUCCUCGAAAGCUUUCCUGAGAUUGCUUUCACUUUCACCAGCCAACUUUGACAUGAUCUCUGGUCCAUUAAUACAGAAAAAGAAGGCACCGGUUUCAUUUGCAACUGCCCUAGCAAUGAGGGUUUUCCCAGAUCCAGGAGGUCCAUACAGCAGGAUUCCUUUCGGUGGUUUCACACCAAUUGAUUUGAAUAACUGUGGAUGUCUCAAUGGCAGCUCUACCAGCUCCCUAAUUUGAGCCAUUUGCUUCCUAACACCACCAACAUCAUCAUAACCAACCUCAUCUAAUCUAUUUUCAUCCUCCCUCCUCACAGGUUCUCCCUCGCAGAAGAUCUCUGUAUCUGGGGCAACAACACAAUACUCGCCAGGAUCGGUCUCAAUAACCUUGAACUCGACACUUCUCAUUCCUCCUCUAACAAGGAAAAGAUCGCCUUUCCUCACAGGGCGAUAUGCCUCCAGAAAGUAAGCUACAGAGAAUGAAUCCAUCGAGUUAAAAAAACAUUCAUCCUAUCCAAGAAAAGAUGCUCUUUGCAAAAAAGAGUGAGAAUUUAAUGUUUGUGCUCCAACUAACAUGACUCUGCAGUCAAUGGAAUGGUUUGACAAGAUAAUAAGCAUCAGCUUCCCUCACAAAGGCUAGCACUAGCUCACAGAUCCAUUUACAUGUUUUACCCGAUAUCAGAAGGCAUUAUGAGUCGAAAUAUCACUUUUAGGAAGUUGUAUUGUCCUGUAGAUAUGUAAAAAGAGAAGUGCUGCAUGAACUGCUUUACAUGAUAUUAACACUAAACCAUAGUCCAUAUUCAAACCAAGCAAACUAGUUUUUUUGUAUGGUCUGGCUCCCCAGCAACUUUAGUAUUCAGUGCAUUUUGAUUAAUAAACAGAGGACGAAGAAGAGCCAUCCAAUAUUUGAUAUAUCCCAAUAUUCAUCAGGUACUAACUAAAUGUAACAAAGCUCAUGGGAAAGUGAUUGCAGUUCAAAGCACGCACUUCACAAUGGUUCUACAUUUAGGAAAGAAAAAAAAAAAAGAAAAAAAAAAAGAGGAAACGAGCCCAACUAACAUGGGCCACAAGCCCAAAUAGAAGAAAAAAUGAAACUGCAAAUUGUUGUUUGACGGGAUCUGGCAAAGCAUAUAUAUAGAAUGGACAAAUUUUACGGAAACAGAUAGUGUUAUGUCUUUAGAUUAUUGUCCACCAAUAAGUUUCAAAUUUCAGAUUACCAUCCACGAAUUCUUACUCAAUCUAGUGUUUUAAUUUAAUAUGCAGUUAUUUUUACAUGGCAUAUUACCGAAAUCCCACGAGUACAAAAAAGGAGGGAUUUAUAAACCAAAAUUUUAUCUUUAAGAUAUACAAGUGCAGGACCGCUAUAGAAUCAGAUGGUUUGGUUAGGUUUGUAGUUUUGAUCUAAAAAAGACAAGUCCAGAAGGGAUUAGGCACAUAGGACCAAUAGCCAAAGCAAGAACCGAAACAGUAUCUCCUACAUCAAGAUAUAUGUGAGGGAACCACACAGGUAGUAAGAAUAGCGAAACUCACGCUUCAAGAAUGCAUCAAAGAGACUUCCAGUAAUCCCUUCGAUGGUGUCAUCCACAGGAAGGAUGUGAACUCGCUUUCCAUACUUGACAUCAGGACACUGAUGCACUGAAACAACAUCUCCCAGUCUAACCCUCAGGUUUUGUCUCACCACUUUGUUCAUCCUAAUCUUUGGCUCGUCGCAUGUGUCGUCAGCAAGAGCAAUGCAGACAGUGUCUUUCCUUUUCUUCCCCUGGAUAAAAGAAGAUAGCAUUUUAAGACCACCGCAAAUCAUUGCCUACAAUCUGAAAUCUACAUUGCCAUGCUACCAAAACAACUGUCCUUUACAUCAGAGAGAUGGAAACAAUGCAAGACAAUGCCAUUAUGUGCAAGUGCAAAAGUACUUACACAGAGAGAGAGAGAGAGAGAGAGAGAGAGAGAGAGAGAGAGAGAAUUCUAUCAUGAAAAGAUGUUCGAUCACCAUGAGUAAUGUGACUAACUAGCCUACAUGGCUCACUUGCGACUUAGUAAAAUCAAGUCAUAAGAGCAAAAAUUGAGCAUGAUAGCAUGGAAACUACGGCCAUCGGAGCUAAAAAAGAGACCUUUCGCAUCAAUUGUCUCACACGAGAAUGAAUACAGGAAACAACAUAUUGCAAAGACAACAAGAGGAUCGAACCUCAUUACAAUCUACAGAAGCUCAGAUAAUAUCACAAAAUCCACAAGCAGAGUCUCCAGGUUUCAAUCCAGCGACAUAUCGACCUCGAAACUAAAAAAAAACUGCUACUAAAACAGAGGCCUCUCAAAGCUCAAGAGAUUCCACACUCCAAAACGGAUCACAAGGAGGCCAAUCCAAAGCAACCCUAGAACCCCGGCACGCCCGCAAAUCACCCAAAAACCGAAUCGUUCCCCCCCGGAAAGGGGGCAAAACCCCACGAACCUUGACGAGGAUGGUGUCGCCGCGGAAGAGCUGGAGCUUCUCCAUGGUCUCCGGGUGGAGGGCGACCACGGAAUUGUCGUCGUUGACGGCCUCGUCGACGACGAGGCGGUUGGCGGCCUUCUUGCGCUCCAGGAUCGCGGUGCUGAAGUCCCUCUUCGUCCCCUUGCUGCAUCCGAAGACCCACAAAUUAAACCAAAAAAAUAAAAAUAAAGGAAAAACAAAUCGAUCGGGCGAGCGUCAGAUUUCCGAAGAGAAACGCCGGGGAAUCGGAGACGGGCGAGGGGAAAGGAAAGGCGGGAUUUUGAGGCGAAAGAUCUGGACUUACGGGUCGGAGGAUUCGGCUUGGCUGGCCAUGGCGGUCCGAUUCGGGAGCGAGCUGCAGCGAUGGAGGAGAAGAGAGAGAGAGUGAAGGGAGACGAGAGGAGGGGGGAAGGGGAGAUGUGAAGAGGAGAACGCUGGGGUGGAUGGGUUCUUAAGUCGGAGAGGACUCUCCCUUUCUUGUUUGCAAAGAAAUGUUUUUUCCUUUUUUUUGCCCUUUUCUCUUAUUAACCAUUUAUUUAUUUAUUUACUUAAAUUUUCGUGGAUAAAUAUAAAUUUUGGUUGAUUUAUGACCUUGCGCAAAUUGAACAUUAAUUCAAUUAGGAGGCGCUUUGAGGCCGUGUAGAAAAGUUUCUUCAUGAAUAAGUCCACAUCUACUUGGAUGUGUAAAAAAAAUCCAACUUUAUCAAUAAUAUUAUAUUAAAAAAAGGCUCUUCAAGAAACAUGGUUAGAGAUACACUUGCUCAUGAUAGGCUACAAUUAAAUUAUCUUUUCCCAUUAUUCUAAUUAACUGGGAUUCUCAAAUAUUAUAAUCCUAAUUUAGACUGUAAUUAAAUUGGAAUUCAAUGUACUUAGGCCAAUUUUUCGCCUCCAUUUAAAAAAUUAUUUAGUAUUCCAUGUAUUUACAAACUAUCUGGAAUCAACCGGCAUGCAUUAAUUUAGUUUCAUAUUUAUGUAGAAAUAGGGAAUAUGGUGGCCGAGAGUGUAGUAGCUUCUAAAAUUAGGUGAUCAUUUGUAUAAUUUCUCAUUAAAUUUCUAGCACGGAAGCAUACACGAUAAAUUGAAAGAACCAAAAAAGAAGUUAUGACAUCCUUUCCCCUUUCCCGAUUCCUUACGUUGUAAUUACUCUACGUGGUCAAAUAUAAAUGACACAAGCGAAAGACCGAUAAAGAACUUUGAACAAAAGAGAGAAUCGGGCCGAGAUUCCAAGCAGCGGAUGCCUUCGCUUCGCUGUCAAUCCCAACUUCUUGAACGGGUCAAGACGGCACGCAGGCUUAUUCAACUGUAAAAGUUGCCACAUUUUCUCCGAACGCCAUUGCUGCACCUCCUGUCCCUCAAGCCUUCUCUGCGGAAACUUCGAGCUCAGCCAUCGCUCCCCGAACCGGGGCCGAGACUACAGGCGCCGGUGUCUUCAUCCGUCGAGUCGGCCAUGACAGAAGUCGUCUCCCACUCGUGCUCCUCGCGCAGGAUGAAGCGCUUGGUCAUCCUACCUUUGCUCGAUGAUUCUCCAUCGCCACUUGUCAGUUGUCACAUCAACCCUUUCAUUCAUCAGGACAUCCCCUUCCAAUGAGAAUGCUUCUUUCCUAGCUUCAAAUCGAAGUUGAAGUGGUUUAAAGUGCAGUCUUUUCGACAUCCUUGGCCCCAGAGCAUCAGGUUGAGUCUGCAGCCUCUGAGCGAGUUUCCAAACCCAGAUCCCCAUCAUCCUUAUUAGCUUCAGUCAACGAGUUCCAACUCUUUCCAGUGAAAUGUAAAAACUCCCAUGGGAUAUGUAGGCACUGUUACAGUUGAUUCAGCAAGAAUCUCCCUCGCAGCUUUGACGAAAAAGACUUAAUCUAACCUGCCAGUUUCUUCGUAACCUUCACUUUUACAAAACCCAAAAGCUCUUUCUUUUUCUUUUUCCUUUUUUUGGGUAAUUUUACCCGGCACAGUUGACAACCCCAGAUAUGGUCCAAAGUAUUGUAGUUUCCAGAGUACCAGGCAGCGGGCUCAAUUCAUCUCUUACUUCACUAGGUAAAUGGGAACUUAAGAAAAUGCUUUAAUGAUGGAAAUUGAUUUGCUGGCCAGAGACUUUGCAAUAAGAAUCUACCACUUCCUUAAGCCUCCUGCAACAUCCACCUUUGCUUGUACAAAAACUAAAGAAUCACUCGCGAGGACAAGUGAGAAAGCACUAGACAUGAUCUUUUCAGCUUUACACCUAUGAUCAUAAAUCAAGAAAUUCUGGCCAAAAGCGAACCUUAAUCAAUUUUAGUUUCAUUAGUAUCGGCUAUAGUAUAAGAAAGGAAUUGGUUCUUAGGUAAAUCCGAGUUUCAUCAGUUGAUUCUGCAGCAACUACCAUUGAACUAGACUUGCAGUGGAAGCUGCCGGUUCAGUUCUGAUUCCCAUUUCCAAGGUUCCGAGCCACACGGGUCACUACGCAUUCCAUGCACAACUUCAGUCUGAUCGUUUGAAGUAAAACGUUUGAUUACUCAAUGCCAGGGCUUCUAUUUCAAGAUUAGCCUCUUGUAAUUAGUGGUACUUUGAAAUCAAACCCACAUUUGACCAAAAGCUAUCCUAAACGAAACGUAAGAAGGCCUCUAAAAAGGGUUGGGGUUAGGGAUGAAUAUAUAGAGUCAACAAUGCGACCAACAAUGUUGGCGUGCACGGAAGUCGAGCUUUUUCCUUUUCUUUGCCGUUAGUUUGUACACAAUGGUAAACCAAGUAUUUGAGGUUACAUGGGGCAAGCUAAUACACUGUCGAUUAAAAUAACCACAUACACAAAUCCUUUUAGGGGAAGGUCGUAAGCUCAAUAGUAUCUGGCUCUACGUUGAAGAAAAUGGAGAGAAUCUCCUUGUUCCCUUUUUGACUUUGAAGUGCGAUCUACCACAUGCACAGCCUCACAGUGACAGCACAGACUGGAGGGAAGCUGGUAUAUAGAUUUGAGAGUCGUUGAGGGCUUGCAAAAGCUUCCCACCAAUCAUUCUGACUGACUGGGAUCUCUUCGUCAUUUUUUUAAGAACCAGAUUCCUUUCUGCGCCAAUUCACCAUGCAGGCAACUAGUAAAGUCAUGCCAAACCGAGUAGCCGGCAUCUUGAAACUUAGGAACACCUCCAACUCCAUUCUUGAUUUGCUGGUCGCUACCGCCAUUGCACGUAGCAAACAGAACUUGAGGCAGCAUCGAGCCGAACGAAAAUAGUCAACGAGCUUGCUUGAGGCAAGACGUGUUCCUCGCCCAGCCAUACAACAGACUGAAAGCAUGUGCUGUUGCUUAUGUAUACAACGACUCGAAAAAGUUUUCAUUUCGGCCACGACAAUCUUGAUGGUAUCACGAAACAUGUAUAACCGAGUUAUUUAAUGCGACAAAAUAAAAGGAAAAAAAAAGAAUCGAGUAAGGAAUCCUUUUCUUUGUCAAAUUUAUCUAUUGUCACCGGGUCUUUGAUCCUACGGAAGGGCUCAUGCGUUUGUCAGAUACAAGUCUAACACGGUAAUGGCAUCCAAUCCUAUAGAAGGCCAUUACUCCUGCUUCAGUUUCUGGUGUGACGAAGGAGAGGAGUACAUGACGCCCCCUACUCCAUUUUCUUCUUUUGCAAGCACGAAGGUACGAAAAGACAUCCGGGCCCCAUAGGAGCUGAAAGUUCUCACGUUGACUCCGACUAUCUUCAUCAUCUUCUUCAUGAACUCCGGCUAGUGCCCCGUUCGGGUCAUGACUUUUAAUUACUACAAGAUUUCAAACAGGUGAUCCGACUUUCACAUUACUAUCUCUGUCAUCAUCCUCAUUACUUCCAGCCAAUGCCCGUCCAAGCCAUGACUUUUAAUUGCUAUGUUAUUAGCAUAUACUGGAGCUGCGGUGACAAGCAUGCCAACCUUGGAUCUAAAUAACUGUAGCACAAACUGAACAUUUCAUAGAGGCUAUCCGAUCCAUUGGCACCAACCGCCCUAUUCCCCUCUUUUACAAAUUAAAUGAAGAGAGGCAUAGUGAACAGUAUUGAAUAUUGAUUCUCGCUUCGUCAUUUGUAUAAAUCGUGCAAGUAUACCUAUAUUUCUCUAUGAUUUGUGCAAUAAACUAGUAGAAGUAACCCAGAAACGUUAUACUAGCCGUGUAGUACAAAAAUCUAGUAAUCCAUUAUGGAUGGACUGAUCAAAUUCGUCGAGUUACUACCGAUGUUUGACACCAAUUAAAUUCAAAUGUAUACUGGUAACACAUUGAUUAGUUGAUUCUACAACGCGCUCAACUGUAAAUCAGUUUGAUACUAAUUAACCUUACCGGUCUACAUUACGGUAUUUUUAAAGAGAAGUUAGAGAGUGUUGGAGUAAAACUAGUGGAGGCGGCUUUGGUUCAUGUUAGAGACUGCAGAGAGCAGAGACAGACACUGAAUCUCAUUCCCUUGUUUUAAAAGCAUUUUACUUAGAGAUUCAGACACUGCAUAGUCCAAAACCAACAGGAAGUAAUUGAGGGGGGCAGAACAGAAACAAGCAUCGGAGGUUAUUUCCUUUGGUUCAGAAGACAUCGAGUUGUUGACUCACCAUACGAUCCACUGGCCAGCCUAUGUAUGACAAAAGCAGGAAUAACUAGAAUCAUGCGUACAUUAGAUACAGCACUAAUGAGAUCAAUAUGUGACAGACGAGGCAGACACUUAUGUACAGUGUUGCAUUUUCAGACACUUAUGUACAUCUUUGACGGCGUAUAAUCCAUCGCCAUCCACGAUGGAAUCUGCACACGGAAAUAAAAAAAUAAAAUGCUCAUUAGAGGGUCAUCAAACAAAAUUUAUUUUAUUGAAAACAGGAUAUUUUAGGCAUAAAUGCAUAAAAUGUCCACAUGCAGCAGAGUCGGCUGACUUCAACGAUCGUGCCUAGAGUUGCACUUGAAGAGCUCUCGAAGAAUGUGGAUGGAAAUUCCACAUCCACCAAAAUCUUCAAAUGCAAACUGUGGUUAAACACUCAAAAAGAAACAUGGAAGUUGCCCUGCCGAGCUCCAAAGUACUAUCAAACUCUGAUGAAUGAAAUCAUUUAACAGAACAUGCUAUACAUAAUGCGUUCAUUCUCAUCUGCAGAUGUCACAACGGGAGAAAAUGGUUGCAACAUGGCUGCUUUUGUUCCCGUCUCAAAUCUGUUAUCCCAGCUAGCAAUUUGGCUAUUAAGUUUACAGCAGCUGAAAGUCAAGAAAGAAAAAGAGAAGACACUAAAAAAGGGUAAGGGGAUGCACAUUUUAUGACAUGGUGAAUAGAAGGAAAAUGUUGAGGACUCACAAGAGUGUUAUUGGCAUUUAUUCAUGUGCUCAAGUGCAAAUCUCCCUCUUCCUUUGUAGCUGAUAUUUCUUCAGAAUCCUCAGCUGCAGUAAGCAAUGGCUUGGAGAAGUGGCGACAACUCCAAUUAUAAAUAGUCGAUUGCAGAAGGAAACUGUGCUCUGGAGCCCCUGCAGUUCCUCCAGAAGCUAAAAUAGCAUCAGCUAAGCCAGAUCCCGGAGAACUCAUCAAAUAUGGCCUGGACUCCAAAGAGCAAACUCUUCGCAUUCCUGCUAAAUAACUUGGCUGAGAAGGGCUAACAGGAGGAGUUCUAAAUGUUAAUGGAAAGCGACCUGCAAAUGAUAGCCGAAUAUCAAGGAAUGGAUUUAAACAAAGGAAGACAAAUUACCAAUCUUGCAACUCAAGAUAAUAAAUGCAACCAGACAACAAAAAGUGGGGUCCGCUAUAAGUAAUUAACACAGAGAAGAAGCACUUUGUUUUUUCUAUUUUUUUUUUUUGGGGGGGGGGGGGGGUGGAGAGAAGGAAAGACUUUGAGCUAAGUAGAAAUUACCCAUUGCACGCAUGUCGAACCAUGAAGUGGACCGUGCUAGACCAGCAACACUAGGGCAUCCUACUACUGUUCCACCAGACUGCAAACUAAUGUCAAAGUUUUUUAAGGGUUUUGUCACUACUUGCUCAAAACCAAUAAUGGAAAGCGCACGCCUGCCAAGACUUGCUAUGCGUGGUGAUGAAUCCUUUGCCAAAGUGCACAUAGCUGAUAUGCACUGGGAAUAAAUAGCCUUAUCAAGUGGUUUUGGCAUGAAAUUGUUGGUGACGCCAUUGCUCACACUAUCAUUGACUAUUGCAGAAUCGGCGUGCUCAGAUGAAUCAUCUGAUGAUAUAGAUCCAUGCAUAACUCCAGAAGCAACGAGAGGGCUGCUAGAUGAGACCCUACUUUCACGAAACCAUGGACUAUCAUUGCCAAAUCUAGGUAAGGGACCCAUUUGAGAUGAAACAAUACUUCCAAGCUGGAUUGUGGUACAUCCACUGCCCAUGCCUUUUAUUUGUGCCAGUGAAGGUAAAGAAGUCAGCAAAGAAUUAGACUGAGGUUUCCGGCAGGCAGCAGCAAUUGACUUAAGGUGCUUGUUGUGACCAAAAGCAAACCGUCCCAUUGCUGUCAAAUUAAAAUGUCAUUCAGUCCAGUAAAGAAAUAUAAUCCAGAGAAAUGCAGGAAACUCCCCAAUUAAGCAUUUUUGCACAUGUUUUGCAUGCACAUUACUGGACCAAAUUUCAUCUAAGAGACAAGAUAAACUACUAUUAGAACUCCUGUUUAGUAGCAUAGCUGGAAGAGAUAAGAAGAAGUGGUUAUGAUGGAAAGUAUGCUUCACGGAACAUAUAAAACACAAUAUGCUUGGAAUCCCUUUUUUCUUGUGGUAAUUGAAAUUCCUUAACAAGGGUCAUUUGUAAGCUACGGCCCCAGAAAACAAUGGCACAAGUGCAUGAGUUGGUUGUCCUAGGUAGAAGCAUUGUGGUCGAUCACCUUGAACAAUCAUCUACCUAUCAUCUUCAGUCAAGUUACCCAAUAAACGAGAAUAGCAGAUGAUGAAGUAACAACAAUAAUUUUAGCCUUAUUAUCGUUCUUAGUACAUGCAUUAAAGCAUUAAGAUGCGCAAGAUAAUGACUACAACCAACAGUAAUACCAUAGUCUGGAUACAUAUACUAAAGUAAUGGUCAUGAUAUACAACUCAUUGAAAUAAACAAAAACAUAUUUUCAUUAAAGCAUAGUUUCUCCGAACUGAUCGAACAAGAUGGCAUUAAGAACCAUGAGGAAACAUAACAUCUGAUAUCAACAAUGUCUAGGCCAAAAUGAACGGGCAAGUAAGCCAAGGAAAACUUUAAAGCUAGUGUACUUUCUUAAAUCACAAGGAAAUUGGUGUUGAAACAGAAAGCAGCAAGUGUGAUUCAAGCACGAGGUAAAAUACUUUUCCAAAAUAAUAGCAUAUAUGUGAAGCAAUUAAUUACAUCCAACUAUAAUGGAACAAUAUCUUUUUUAUACAGUUUUUUAAUAGACACUGUACAUCUUUGCCUGGAAUUGUCCAAUAUAUGGCGAGAGGUAGAGAAAUAAAGUUUUGUACAAUUGAAAUUUCUUAAGACACACAUAGUCCAAAGAUCAGAAGCAGGACAUGAUCAAACUGAUUUUAACAUUAAGUGAUCAAGAAGUUCCAUGACCACUUCAUCCCAGACAAUAUCAAGAAAUUAGUUGGAUUCAGUGUCAUCUUUUGCUGACUUAAAUAGAUUCUCAGAAAACAAAAGAAAGGAGAACUGCAUACAACAUAUGGGGAGAUCACAAACCUACAGCGACUUCUGCCCUCACCAGGGGGCUGUUAUCUGAAACAACACCCAAGAGGCUUUUGAUAAUGCUAAUCUCAGUCCUAGUCUUUUCAUCAUCAUCAUAUUCUUCAUCUCUAGUAACGCUAUCUGUACUAGAGUCAGACCCAACAUCAAGCAGGGUACCCAGGGCAAAAACAGCAGAAGCCCUUACCUGAAGUUAAAAAAUACAGAAUUUAGAAAGCCAAUGUCAUUUACAUAAUACAAUAGGCAGGAAUUAUCUUCAUCAAGAUUGAGAUGAUAAAGCUAAGUAUAGACCUCUGGUUGGGGCUCGAAUAAUAGAGGAUCAAAUAUAGCAGGGGCAUUUGCCUUCCAACCAAUCAUUUGGGCCUCCGUAAAAUCCUCCCAAACCUUUCCCAGACAAAGAGCAAGCCACUGAAGGAACAACGGAUCAGUCCGCGUGUCCUUUGGAUUUGGACUCCAUAUGUGCCUCAAGCAGACAUGGAUAAGGCCUGCUUGGACACAUGCUUCCUGACCCCUACGGUGGCCAUCCACAAUGACGGCCAAAACAAAGGCCGCCAUUGCGCGAUGCUCGGGAUAUGCUUCCCUACUGUCGAGAAACCUGAUGAAGUAUGUGUGGCCUCCAGAUUUUACUAAAUCCACCUGACAUGACUAUUGUUGCACAAGUGAAAAAAUGAAGGCCAUUCAGAAUGAUACAUCACUAAUCAUUAAGGAAUUCCUAAUAAAAGCAACAUACUCGCAAAUAGUGAUUGAAUUCGAACCAUAUUCUUAUUUUCUUUCGCUCAAUAUAUGUUUCCUCCAUCCUAAAAUAGAUGAAUCCCUUCCCAAAGGACCAUAUGUUCACAUUUUGUAACAGUUGCUAUGUAGUGCCUGAUGAAAACUAAUCCCAAAAAUUGCUUCUAGGAUCAUAGAGCAACAGAGUCCAAAGCACAGAACAGACAUUUCCACUUCCACUAUGGCAAUUACAUAAGAUACAUAGCACCAUAUUUCCUCUUGGGAUGAAGAAACAGCCACAAUGACACUAAGUCGUGCCCUUGUUGAGUCUGUCCAACCAGUGACUCGAUCCAGAUUCAUCUAAAAUAUGGACACUGUUAUGGCCCCAUAUACCCCCCAAAACUAUCCAAUUCACCCCCUCCUCCCCCCANNNNNNNNNNNNNNNNNNNNNNNNNNNNNNNNNNNNNNNNNNNNNNNNNNNNNNNNNNNNNNNNNNNNNNNNNNNNNNNNNNNNNNNNNNNNNNNNNNNNAGAAAAUUGGUUGAAAGAAAGGAAUGGAAGAAAACACAGAAGUAGCUUAAAAUUGCCCAACUUCCUGUUGUUUUAAUUUGGUUUACUGAUGUUGGUAAAGUUAUGUUUGUAGUUGUAUAGACUGAUUGUGAUCGGGCUGUGGCUCUUUCUUGUUUUGGAUCUGUGUGAAGAUAGACAUUAUUUGCCACGUGUUGGUCGUUACACUUGUAGAAAGGGAAGGUAUCCUAUUAUAGAUCUGUGUGAAGACAUAUUAUUUGCCACGUGUAGGUUGUUAGACUCAUAGAAAGGGAAGGUAUUGAGUGGAGCGAGGAGAACCCCCCACCCCCCCCCCCCCCCCCCCCAAAAAAAAAGAGAAAAAAGUGAUGGACCAAGUGCACUCUACACUAUCUACACAUGGAACAAGAUCCAAAUAUAGCAAUCCCAGCCAACCAUGUUUUACAUUUUGCAGUUAAACAACACAUGCUGUCAUCAUUACCUUGUCUAGGGAAAGAAUUUUUGUCCAAACAAAAACAAGAAUAUGCUGCAGCUCUGGAGUUGGGGUGCACAACAUCUUUAGGACAUAUGGAAAUACCCCAACUGACAAGGCCUAUGAGGAAGUUUUUUCAAAAGACUACAGUUAAAAGUAGCAGGAAGUAUAUCAAAAGGGAGAACACAAAAUCAAAGCCACCAUUGUUACCAGAUCCACAGCCCAAGGUCCCAUGUCGAGGAACCUUGCGAGGAGAACAAGUGCCCGGAAUCGAUGAUUCUGGCCAUGCAGAACCUAAGAGCACAACGAGAUAUCUCAAUCACUCAGGCUUAUAGACCAACAGCACAACUUGAACACGCAAGACUAAAGGUGUGACAUGGUCACAAGAUGACUCCAAAAUAUGACUAGAGCAAUAUCACACCUGAAGAACAACAGGCAACUGCUCUGGUGGUUUUUUAUGCUCGGACCCAUGAUCAAGCCAUGCCUCAAAUGCUGUUAGCUGUUCGGUGAAAAAAGGGCUUGGCUGAAAGAACACCCAACGAUGUUACUUGAGGAUAAACCAUGAGUGAGAUCAAGCAAUUUGAAGGUACAGAGUAAAAAUACGAACCGUGUAUUCUGCACGAGAAUCUUCAACCAAAGACGGAAGCUGCGAAAGGCAGAUUUCAGCAGCCAUGUCCCAUGCAUCCCUAGAUACACCAAGAAUAAAAUCAGUAGUAAAUUGUCAACAACAUGAAAACACUUGAUCCCGAAAGCAAUUGCAGUACCACAUAUGAUGCUGAUGCGUCAGUGGCAGUGCUGGGUGAGAUAUUGGCGAACAGUUAGCUGACCGCAUGAUUCUUUCAGCAAGUAAAAAAUUUCGGAACAAGCUGGCAACCAAAAGGUCUUGUCUGAACAACCUUUGAAACAAAUCUGUAGCACACCAAUUGAAUAUUGACCAGAGGCAGAGGAAUACGCAAUUGAUCAAAAUAAGAAAAUUAAACAAACUGCACUACUUGAGUACAAAGAAUAACACUACUACCAUGAGGGAGAACAUUCCAAGCAAUAGUGUCAGUCACUGCAGUUAAAAUCCAGUACAGUUCUCCCAGAGGCGUCUUGCGAUCAUCUGGGCGACCAGGAAUUUUAUCAAUCAGAGAAUAAUCAAGGCACUCCGAUAGAAGUGAUCUGGUACGGAACCUGACAGCCAAAUUUUUUAGAACAAGAGUUUUCUCAGACUAAAUUGUGUCAACUAACAAUUUCAGUUUGAUCAUGUAGCCAAGCUUCAUCAUCUAUUUGGCCUAUCAACGUAGAGGAAGCUAAGCAGAACAUCUCUACCUACAAAUGAUUGUGGAGAAAGCUAUAUAACUUAUACAAACUUAAGCAUAAGAACCUCCACACCCACAGCAAAGAAGAACACCAGCAUGCAUAUGUGUCACUUUGUGAAGAAUUAUCCUUGUUAUUGAAGAACCUAUGGAAAACCCAGUACAUAUAAACUGGAGCAUGUCCCCUCGAUUUAGAAAAUGCAAUAUAUACCUCUUUCAAGUCAUUGUUGAAAACAACUUUUCACUGCUACAUUAGACUAGACCAAAGUGUGAAGCACCAUCACAUGCAAAAAACCCAGGUACAGGUUGUUAACUUAAACCAUUAAAAGGCACAAAAUGAAUAAGAUAAAAUUCAAGACAGUGAUAUUUAAGGAACUAGGUUUCACCAUCUUAAAAACAUCUUAAUGGGGGUGGUGAGGCAAGACGUAAAGACAUCAGCAGGAAAUUCAGCACUCUGAGGGAGGGUCUGAUGUGCUUCACAGGCUGCCAGAAUAAUGCAAUCCCUUGUGGAUUCACUAGUAUGAGCAGCACACCAGUCAUUAAGCUACCAUGAAUUCAUAAAUGUUAGUCAUUGCGAAGUCCAAAAAUAUAUGACAAACACAAACAAUCUCAGAUGGUUAGAUUUGAUAUAACAUUAACAGCUGAAAGCAUGCCCAUCUUUGAGUACCUUUACAAAUGCAUUGACUAUCAAACCAGCAGCAGAGCAAUCUAAGACAUAUAUCGAUGGCGUCCUCAACCAAGAAUCAAGUUCACUGAUCUGCAGGGGAAUAUACUGUGUAUAACUCUGCAAAAAUGGCACAAUACAGCAUUAAAAAGAAACUUAACCAAAUGUGACAAUUAAAACCACAUAAGUAGCAGUCCAACCAUGCAACAUUUAGAUUCAACAAAAUGCCGAAAAGAGCAAAGAAAUAAGAUAUAUUACCUUGUUGAAAACCCAGAUUUCGCCGUUUGUAGUUGGCUUUAGAACACCGUGACCAUUGUAAUGAAACAGAACUCUCUCAGACUUGGCAUGUCUGCGACACACUAUACACAGUUUCUUUACUUCGUCAAUGGUAGGAUCAAGCUUCCUCAUAAAAGCCUGCUCGGACUGCAAGAAUGUAGUAAAUGAAGACCAGAAAACAAAGUAAAAGGAAAUUGUUUAAAAAGGGUUAAAGAAAUCUCACCUUCAAAUGCCAACUUUCAUACUGUUUCUUCAAAGCUUCUCCAAUUAAUUCAAUAGCUUUUCGAGGUUGCAUUGAAAGUGGAUCUAAAAAGGGAAUUAAAUCCAACAAAAAGGAAAAAGAUUAAACAUGUUAUUAAAAGUCAACUCCAAAUAUAAUCUCCAUGUGGCUGCCAUCAAUAAGAUGGAAAAGGAGCAAUCUACAAUUGCUGAAUCAAGAGAUAUUUUGAAAAUCAUCCAAUUAAAAAACGCUGAUUUCAAUCAAGUAAAAUGAAGAUUGAGACAAGGAUGCUAUGCCAUGAAGUAUAUCCAUAUAUAGAUAAAAGAAGCAUCUGUUCUCAAUUAAAGUACAUGCGCGCAUGCAAGCACAUAUAUCACGCAACAAUUUUGCAAAGCAAAGAGAUACCAUAAAAGCAGAAAAGAAUUCCAAAGCAUGAAAGAAGUGAUCUACCUAUCCAGCACUCCAUUCUGGCACAAGGAGAUGUCUUAAUAACAUCAGGUGGAUCAACACUUAUGUUUAAACAUAAGACAAUAGCUACACAUCCCGUUUUAGUCUGCAGAGCAACAAACCAUUAGAAACAUCUCAUCGCUAGACUAGCAUCGGCAUUUUCUUUAAUUUCUACCUCUGUAAAGUUAACAUUCUUACUAAUGAAUUUCCUUAUACUACUUUUGCAACAGCCAACUUCUAAUGAAUGAAUUAAAUGAAAAUAAAAUAGAGCGCUCUGCAAAUAGCAUGACUGCACAUGCAAAAAAAUGUACAAAGGCUGCUGUAUAUCUCUCAACGGAAGGAGACACACAGAAUUUCAUGUUAUCUUUGAUAGAAAGAGAGAAGCCAUUCCUCUAACACACGGAGAAAAAAGCCGCUCAAGCAAGGAUAUCUUACCAAGAUAAGAAUAAUGUAGUGCUAAUAUACGACAUCAUCCCACAAAGACAUGUUUUCAUUUCUACACCUUAAAUAGAGCAACACUUUAUAUGAGCACUGUUUCUGCAAUAACUUUAGCUUUGAUUGAUGUGGAUUGCGUCAUACUUGAAGUAAUAAAGUAGACAAAUCGCUGUUCCCCUCAAAACCAAAUGAAUGACUCUCAGUGUUUCACUUUUAAUGGCCCGCUCAACAUUGUGACAUGCACCUUGUGAGGAACUCAGAGUAAAUAAAAUACCAGAAGUUGGCACUCAGGAAGCACCAGCACUGCGGAUCCCCCAGCCCAAUAAAUUAGAAAGGAAAAUAAUAUAGACAUAAAAAACCACAUCAGAAGAUAAGAGUGCUUCUUCUGAAUGUAAUUCAACACUUAUCACUUGAAAUAUAUUAAAGCUAUUUCAUUAACCGGACGAGAUAAAUAGUUCUUAUAUCAAUAUAUCCACUACCAUGAAAGCCAUAAAUUUUUUAGAACAUAAUUUGCUAAAUAAAAAUUUCACCUGUCCAUAUCACUUCAGGCAGCCAAAAUUUCAAUUUACUAACUCUUCUUAAAAGUUCCAGCUAAACACAAUUCGCCCUACUUUUAAGACAAUUGCUUCAAAGCAAAAUGACUAGAGAAAUUUGUUCAACUAGAUAAGCCAAAAAGAUCCUCCAAGACAAUUCAAGCUUUUAAAAGCAUUUUAAAAGGCUCUCUAAUUUUCUAGUUAUAGUCAUUUACGACUCUGCUGCAUGUUAUUGAGCUAAAGAGUUUUACUGACUUAUCGCUUUAAAACUGAUAACUGAAACCUAUGCCAAUCUAUGCCAGAGAAAAUUGCAGCUCUGCCAUCAGUAUAUCCGAAUACAUAUCCCACAAGUUCCAUGCCUUAUAGGUAGAUGCUUCUUGCAUUGAUCGAUUCCCACUUACCUGUUUUUUCGGAUUUGUGGGGAAUAAGAUAUUAAAGCACAUUCUUACCCACCAAAAACUUGGAUGGAUAGCGGGAAAGCCUAAGGUCAAUGCACCAUAAUAAUUUUGUACACCGAGCAGAACAUCCAAACAAAAGAACCAUUUCGCAGGUACAUAUAUGGCAAAUGCAUUACCUGCAUAGAUUGACGAAAAUAAUGACAGAAAGCAGUCUAGAAUCAGAAGUUUGAUUGCCAAAGGGCUUCUCAGUUCAGAAGAUCAGGCCAUACUCAUAACUUAAUGUUCAGAGAAGUACACUGAGAACAAUUCCGGCCAGUUAGCCAGGGUAAGACAGAGAGGCGGGCCAGUUCUAGUAGAACCAAAUUUCUUAGCUUCCCCAACUCCCCAGUUGUCCCCAUUAGAAAUGGAGGUUACAGGAAGAAUGCCAACAAAAAUUCCUCACUAUGUUACGCAUUUACAUCUAGUGUUUUGUAGCAUAGAGCAUAGUCAUAACCCUUAAUCAUUAAGAAAUAAUUCACCCCCUUUUGCCCUAGCCAUCUCUUUUACCAAUCAAAAAGUGCAACACAACUUACACACAUAAUCAUGAGGAAUGCAAAUCACUCGACUCGAAUAGCACCAUGUCACUAUUGCAACACAAACCCAGUUCAGCGGGCAACAAACCUCCCGAGCAGCCACAGUGCAAAGAAGAAAAAAAAACAAGUGUUGUCCAUCAGUCCGCCAGCACUUAAUCACAAACUAACAACAUCGAACAUCAUCGACCAAGCUAACGAGCAGAGUGAAAAAAAAAAAAAAAAAAAAGGAGAGAGAACGAACGCCAGAAAGUUUACCCGUUUCUUAAGCCGCCAUUUCGAGACGAAGCCGCUCUCGGAGGGGCCGCAGGGCGCGCAGGCCUCGGACGCCUCGCGCCGGAGCUCACGCAAGACGACAUUUUGCGGCGAGUACGGAGGGCCGCUCGUGCCGCAACCGCCGUCCUCGUUGCCGGAGGACAGGCCGCGGUGGUCCAGGGACGCCGCCGACUGAGAGAACCGGGACGUCAUCACGUCGCCCAAGGCCACCACCAAUUUGGAAACUAAUCCCUCUCGACAGCACCACCCUUCAAACCCGAAAACCAUGACACCCGCAGAACAAAAAGUAAGGCGCUACCCAAUCACCGCAACGGCGAGAGGAGGCGAGCCUCCAGGCGGAGAUGGAAAGGGCAUGGACUCAUCGACGAGAAGCCACUGGGACCAUUGGUGCGAGGAGGAGACGGAGCUUUCUCGAAGAAGAGAGAGAAAACACAGUAAGCAAGCGAGACGAAGAAGAAAACAAGGAGUAGAGAACGAUGGGCUUCGCGGGGGAGGAGAGGCGGGGCGACGGCGGCGGGCGGCGGCGGCGGCGGAAGAAGCCAAGCUAGGAGAAAGAAACCAUGCCGUCGCGGACAAAUCGACUGGCGUCGAUCGUGUCGCGAUUCCGACAAUCGAAAAAAACAGUUAGCCGAAUCUUCGGCAACUUUCGUUACGUACGGACUCUGAUUACUUUCCUAUAAAGGAGUCGUUGAAUAUUAUAAAAAGCACUUAAUCCAACAAAUUUAUAUUGAGUGAGCAAGACGGACUGAUCGGACCAAUUGAGUUCGACUCUCCGAAUAAGUAUAUUAUAUGUUCUCGAAAGUGUCGAUCUAAUUCGCGGACUAAAUAUGUAUAUUAUAUGUUCAUUUCUUCGAAAAAGAAGGGAAGAAAGUGGCAUUAAUGAUCUCACUGAUUUGAUUUGCUUGAUUAGUGCCGAAAUGUUUCACUCUCUUUUUUAUUCAUAUUUUCCUUCUAUUCCUUCAGUGUUGGCUAACCUUCGCGUUAUCUUUCAAAGAGAAUAUCCUUCCGUAUACUUUUUUUUCCUCACGACCAGAUUCUCUUGGUAAUCCCCGUUGCUUCCCUAUUCGAUUACUACCACAUUUCUACUAAGGGUGAGCAAAACGAACUUGACCAGCUCAAUUGAGUUCGGUUUUCGAGAGUAGCGAUCCAAUUUCCGAACCAAAUAAUAUAUAUUAAUUUCUUCAAAAAAGAGAGAACAAAGCGUCAUGAAUGAUCUCAUUGGCCUGCUUUGUUUCAAUUAGUGCUGAAAUCUUUCGCCCUUUCUUUUUAUUCAUAUUUUCCUUUUAUACAUUCGAUGUCGACUGACCUUCACAUUAUCUUUCAAAGAGAAUUAUCCCUUGCGUAUACUUUUUUUUCCUCAUGACCGGAUUCCUUGCCAAUUUGUUGCAAAAAUAAAGUGGAGGCAAUCUCCUUUACUUCCCUCUUUGAUUACCGCCACAUUUGUUGCCCCUUUUCGUGUAGUUUGGAGGAAUUAAUUCCUUUGCUGGAGAAAAAGCAUGGAAGAUUUCCUUGAUUGAUUGGUUAGACCUCUUUCUUUUUGUUGUAGAAAAGCCAAAAUCUCUUACCGUCUUUCUUUUUUUAAUUUCAUCUUCAUAUUAAAUAAGUGACUAGUUCUAGUCCCAAGACCAAUCACUCCGUUCCCUCAUUCCUAGGUAGAAUCGACCAAAUCAGAAAUCGAUCACCCUUACCUGAUCCACCAAAUUUCCACCCGUCUCCAUGUACUAAUCUACAUUAGACUAUAAGUUUACGGUUAGUGCAAAUUCAUGAAACAAUUUUUUUUCUCUUUUUACCUUUAGGAAAAUUGUCCAAAAAAUCAUAAGCUUAUUGCACUUUUGUUAAUUUAUUUUAAAAAUUUUCAAUUUUACCAAUUGAGUCUUAAAUCUUUUGAUAAUUUGUCAAUUGAGUUCAUCUGACCAGUUUUAACUGAAAAUUAUUGACACAUACGCUAGUAAGGCCAUGCAAGAUGAUUGAUGCUUAUGUGAAUAUUUUUUUUUAUUAUUCUUUUAAAGAAUGAUUUUGUUUUUAGAAUUUCUCUCAUUCUUUUACUUUUUUUUAACCAAGUACCCUCGUUGGUCAUAGGUGAGAGCCAACUAACCCUUGCCAAUAACAGGUGAAUAAAAGGCAAAAUUAAAAAAAGAAAAGAAAAAGAGGAAGAAAAUAAAAAAAAUCAGUUUUUAAAAUUAUAUAAAAUUAUUUAUGUUAGCGCUAACCGUGCCACGUAAAACGGCUAACAUUCAUAUUAGUGAUUUUCAGCUAAAAUUAGCUAAAUAGAUUCAAUUGACAAAUUUUUAAAAUGUUUAGAAUUGAAAUGACAAAAUUAUGAUAAAUUUAGGACUUUUUGUACAAAUUUACCUUCCACCUUCGUGUGAGAUUCAAAAUCGAACAAUAUGAAUUGGGCAAAAUUAUAAUUCAACAAAACUAAAAUGAUCUUUUUUUAUGAUAUUUGUAUUCUAAUUUCUCGAUCGGAUUGAUUUCAUAGACGUACCGAAUCGUCCCGUCCACGUACCUUAAAAAGAACUCCAUCCACACUGGUAGGAACUAGGAAGUGGCCCGAAAAAAGGUAACGGCUAGAUGGAAUAUAUGCAGGUAAAUUUUUCUUCUCCAGUGAAAAAUUAAGUAGAAAAUGCUGUGAUUAAAAGUAUGUAUUGCCAUUACAUUUUACGCAUGCAUUUCUUACUUCCACCAAUUCCCCUGGUGCGAACUUUCACUUUUAUAUCCAAAAGGCGUUUGAAUAUAAAAUUAAUCGCUUUAUCAAAAGCACUUUUGACAUGGAAAAGCAUUACAAACGAAAAAGAUUUUAUCCGUUGAUGACGAAAUGAAUACAGUUAUUGAUGUUGGCUUUAUACAUGUGUUAGCAUUUUAAUUUUGUUGGUAUUAGACUGGAAAGAUUCAUGUACCCGCGAAACAGAUAAAAUUAUUAAAUAUCAAAUUUCAAAUAUCGUGUUAGUAUUUUGAUUUUGUGUUGUGGGUCCAUUGUUUUUAUUCCAUUAGCGAACAACAAAAAAGUUCCUAGGAUCAAUUUCCAUCGGUACUUUUUCUAACUAUGGCUUCCUCAAUGAGAUUAGUCCUAUAGUUCGACAUUUAUAGAGCAGCAUCGCUCGAAAUUGGCUGCAUGGAUAAGAGAAAUCUGUAUUCAUGACUUGGUCGAUAACUCGAAUUAGUUCAUGCCGAAACGACAUUUUAUCAGCAGCGGUUGCUUACAGACACUUCAGGAGGGAGAUCAUCAGUUCUCAAGUUUUCCAUAAAGUCAGCAUACACGCGAGGUGACGCAGCAGUCGUGACCUCAUUCCUCUUUGAUCAUCUGAGCAUUACAAAGUUUAAAAUCCUGAAUCAUUGUAGCAUUAGUUUAUUCUCCACGAUCUGUCUGUAUGUUCGACCAUUGUCCAAAGGGCCGUUCAUCGUUGCGCACUGUCUCAUCCCAUGUCCAUCGAUCCUGGUUGGUCACUCUCAAAAGAAGCCGAGAUGCAUUUCUGAUUGCUCUGAUUGGAACAUCUAAUGAAAACUACUGGGCGAAAGAGAUCAGAUCAGUUUGACAGCCGAGUGGAAAGCAUGAUAGGGAAGUGACCCAUAACGUGUUGCUAUAUGUUUGGAGUUUACCAAGACUUAAGCCCUAUUGAACACAUUAUCUCUUCCUCAAACAAAAACUCUAAUUUCUUACUACUAUAUUGAUCACCAGAAUCUAUUGAGGAUUCGAAAUAAUGCUAUCGGGCAUUUAUUAAAGACUCAAACCCAAAAGCAAAAGAUUCAAUUAUAACUAAGCAUGUGCAUGUGUGGAUAUAUAUAUCCUGGCUAGGUCACCAACUUUCCAAGGCAUCUUUAAGUGAAAGGCAUUAACGGACUUAAUCACCUCAAUUAUUGUGCAAAAUGCAAUUAGACACCCUACCUCAUUUUAUGUUGUGCAAGAAUUGUAUUUUCUAGUACAUAAUUAUCCAAGUGAUUAGAUAUAUUAGAUAAUAUAGAUAAAGAGACUAGAAUAAGAAUGAGUUUCAUCAAUUUGUAAAUUCCAACUUUAUGUGCAUUAGAUGUUACACACAAGGACAUAAUUAUCAUUUUAUUGUACCUCAUGAAUGGCCAAGAACCCUCUUCGGUAAGACAAGAUUUUGGUAAACAAACUUCACAAAACAAGGUUGUAAUUACGAAAACGAGAAGGACAAAUUAAUUGCAUUCAAUGAACAAAAAGUAUGUUUUACUAUAUGUACUAGUGUGCUUAGCGCAUGUUCCGCAUGGGUUUUAUAUUCCAAAAUUUGUUGGAAAUUCAUGUUUACUAAAUCACAUUCCCCAUGUUUUCAGAUUCAGAUUACCAGGAUAUUAACUAAUUUUUAGAGCUGUACCAAUUACUAAAGAGCCUAAAGAUGCACAUCGUGCUUUGACGGAUCACUGUAAGGCGAGGAAGGUGUAGGAAAGCUUGAUAAAUAUUUCAUUUUGGCCUUCCUUUUUUUUCAAUGGUAACAUCUCUGCUUGGCUUCAAAUGAAUGUUGUUUCGUCCCAAAAAACAUUUUUUCUCGCUUCUCUGUGGCUUAUCAGGAAGACGAGGACUAUGGAGAUUCUGGAUAACGCUAUUAUCCCUUUACAGAGACUAGAAGUAAUGACCCGAUGACUCAUCUUGAACUUGAGAGUCAAACGGAGGACUCUGAUAUGGUUCAAGUUUGCAGAAGCCAACUUCAGGUGUACUGAAAACGAAUACCGAUGGUAGUGCAAAAACGAAUCCUGGGGAACUGAGCACGGGGGGUUUAGUUUAAGAUGAGGAUGAAAGGCGGGUUACUGACUUCUCUGCGGGGCUAGGUCUCGGGAACAUUUUGUUAUCUGAACUCGAAAGUCUGCAGCAAGGACUCAUCUUAGCCUGGAAUGAAGGAACUCGUCUUCUGGAAGUGACUGUUGAUUCUUCAGAAGCAGUUCCUUCGAUGAUUUUAAGUGCUAAUGGGAAACAUCAACUUCCGGCAAAUAUGGUUCUCGACUGUAGAUCUUUAUUGGCAAUAACAGGAGGAAGUUACUAUCCGCAAAAAUAGAAAUUAUCUUUCUUUUAACAGUCAUGAAUGAAUAGAUUUAAUAACUAGUACUUCGGGGGGACGGAUUGUAUGGGGGUUACUUAAACAAUUUAAAACCCGACUAAAACAGGUUUAAGAAAACAUCAAACUCGAACUACAUGGGUUCGGAAAAUAUCCUUAUUCGAUGCAUUUGGAUUACCGCGUUGGACAGUUCAUCGUCGGUAAGCUGCUUUAAAUUGGUUGCGACCGUCUGCAAGCUCGAGCACUGAUUAACCCUAGUUUUUGCUGAUGGUAUUCUGAGAUAUCAAAGAUGAUAGAUACACUGAGAGAAUGCCUAGGAGGGUAAACUAUCUUCAACCCAAGUCGACGAAAACUUGCUCUUUCCUUGUAACGGGACUUGCAUGAUCGCUAACGUAAGAGGCAGGAACAGUUAGUUGAUCGUUACAUUUCUUCCUUUACCGAAUUAGUUGCAUCGGAAAAUCAGCUGCUGUGAUAUCUUUUCCAAUUUAACCAUGGAAGAUUUAUAAAGCGGGAACUUGAUUAAUGUGAACUCGGCGAGACGAGAAAUUUAACAAUGUAAGUGGGAUGUAGGGAUGCAUAUAUCCCUUUAUUUCUUAAUUACUAUUCUUUAAGGAAGUAAUGCCAAGUUCACUCCCCUAGUUAACAUCAAUGUUCCAACCGUAUUAACGACCUUCCUCGAGGAAGGUGACUUGAACGUCAAUUUUAGCUCCAUCAACUACAUAAUAUGCAGAGAGAGGCAAGUCUUCAUUCAUCUGAAUGUCGAGGUGAAAGAGAGAGAUUGAACAGUUCCUUAGACCCCAUCGCCUCUCGAUCUUGUUCCGUAGGUCGGCAACGGAGUCUGUCUCUCGGGUUCUCAUAGAGCCCUGCUUCAGGGAGGACUCGAGCUGGACGGUAAUCUUUGUUCCCUCAGGCAAUGGAGCCACGCGAAGUGUCACGGUUGCGGGGUCCUGGCCGAAGAUGCAGUGCCGGAUCUCCUCAUCAUCAAGCAGUGCCCGCUCGUCGUACACCAAGGUCUGUCUCCCGAUCUCCACGCCGAGGGCGUCUUGGAUCAUCUCCUUCAGGUUGAGGACGGUGUCGAAGUAGAAGACCUCGAUUAGCGGCGUGAUUUCUCCUCCAGCGACGCAGAGGAGCACCAUGGUCUGAAGUGGCCUCGCGAUCGGAUCAACUCGUAGAGGGAGAUUGGCAAGAUUUGUACAGAGGAUUUCGCGGAUUAUGUAUAAGAUACGCAUGCAAAUUGAAUGGGAAGAGUGACGGUGAAAUUUGCACGUUGCAUGAAUUACUUGUUUCUAAAUCCUAGCUCAGACUUUUACAUGAUCAGCUGGUAGUAGGAUCAUGAAUAACGUCAUCCUUCAUGAGGGAUCAUCACUGGUGGUUUCAAAUAAGUUUCAUCUUUGCUUAGUUCUUUCUUCCCCCCAAAAUUUCCCCGGAGCUUGCAUCAUGCUAGUUACCGAAUACAGAUUUCGUGCUUCUUUUUGCUUAAUUUGUCCAGGCACUCCAUUUGUUAUUGGAUAAAAGAAUAUUUUAGAGUAAAUUGAUAAUCUCCUACGAAAUGGUACGAGUAUACCUCUUAUAAUAAUGUAAAAUCCAAUUGAAGAUGGAGCAUUCUUGAUUUAGCGAAAGAAACAAACUUCAAAACCCCUCUUUUGAUGCUAACGAUCCAAUUAGUCCAACAUUGAUUCCUUUAAGUAGUUUUUGCGUCUUGCAAUUUGAAUACAUUUAAAGAGAUCAGGCUUGUUUGGUUCGGCUUUUGGGGAAUGCAUUUGAAAAAAUGCAAAUACCUUUGGGAGAAUGAGAUUUUUCGAAAUGCAAAUAACGUUUGGUAAAAUUUGCAUUGAGAAAUAACUUUGACUAAAAUACUGUUUGAUAAAAUUUGCAUUUGCAAAUGAUUUUUAUUAAAUUAAAAAAACAAAAAAAUUUGUAUUUUUUUUUUUUUGAAGUCUGGCCAUUGGACUGCCGAAUGGUCGGAUUUGGCCCCAGACAGUCGCUUGGGGGUCACGCGACCUCAGGCGAUCGCCUGAGUUGCGCGACCCAGGCGUCACCUGAGGUUCGGUGACAGUCGUCGAUCGCCUGGGUCACGUGACCCCAAGCAGCCGUUGCCUAGGGUUGCCUAGGGUCGCCUGGGGUCGCCCGACCCCAGUGACCGUCGCGACCAUCGCCUGAGGUCGCGCAACCUCAGGUGGCAGCCUGGGUUGCGUGACCCUUGAGAUUCGACAACGGUUGCCGGUGUGCACGACCCCUUGGCCGGCGAUCGUCGACCUCCGAUCGGCUUCUUCAUGCGGUGGUGUGCAGCGUUUUGGAGAAGAUAAUCAGUACCGGGACUUGCAUUUCGAAGAUACAACUCCCCAAAGUAACUUUGGAGCUGCAUUGAGCUAAAGGCCCUUAGAGCCACUUGGAGAUGCAAUUGCAUCUUACCAAAAUUGCCCAAAAAAACAAACCAAACGCAUUUACAUUUGGCCAAGCCAAGAGACUUUAGAGUCCCAAAGUGCCUUCCAAAUGCCCGACCAAACAGACCAAACAGGGCUGAGGUUCCUGCAAGCCACUUGUUACCGCAUGCUGAACACAGACGUAGGAGUGCACAUGGUCCCAUUUCUACCCACACAUUUCCACAUUCGACAGACGAAAAAAAGUAACACGUAUCGACGAAGAAAAAUCACGACAGUACAGAUUUCGAAGGGAUGGCCACUUAGCUGAUAACGUGAGAAACACGAGAAGUUCAGAUCCCGAAAAUGAUUGGAGUAAAGUCUAACAAAUAUGAAGCCAUGGCAUUCCCAUUAGACAAUUCCAACAGGAUACAGUAAUAAAACAGGAAGGAGAAAGGUUUUAAAUGGAAAUGGAAACACAAUAGAUUAUCUGAUUAACUAUAUAGGUCGUCGUCAUCAGCGCCGCCAGCAGAAGCUGCAAAAGGAUCUGAUCCCGCAGCACCGGCACCAGCACUGGCAUCUGCAAAGCGAAAUUCGCUUCCGAACCCUCUCGACUGCUGGAGUGUCUGAGCAAAAGCUUGAUACUUCCUAAUAUCAGCAUCACUCACACUCCUGCGAGCAUACUUCAUCGAUUCCUCGAAAUGUGCAGCUUUGAUCUCUGCCACCUCAUCCUCGACGUCCUCCUCCAUGGCUUCAGGAUUAUCCCUUCUCCUUCUCUCCCUCUCAAUAUCCUGCAAAACACACAGCAGAAGAAGAAAAGCUUAGUUCCUAGGCUAUAUUUGGCACCAAAAACAUCUAGACAGGAAACUAAUCAGUCUAGGAGAUGUGAAAAGUAUGCGAAAAUGUAAAGAGCGAUCAUUCAUAUGUAAGCAAUAGAAAAGCAAUGUGAAAGGAAUCCUAGAAAAGAUAUAGGCAGCAUCAUUCUCGAGAUGUUAAGACCACUAGCUGGAUGGUCAUUCCCCCCUGCGGUACAGAAAUAAUGGAAUUGAAUGAAGAUGGAACCUUGAUUCUACUAAGGCUCCAACCCAUCCCACAUGCAUUAUACCUCAAGUCACUGAAAGCAGAGACAGUAAAACAUCACAUAAGAGGAACCGUACUUUCUCGAUGUUUUCUCUGAUGGCAUAUUUGCAUGCACGCUGGCAUAUUUCUGUGAUAUCAGCACCACUGAAACCUUGUGUAUACUUAGCAAGAGCUCUCAGAUCAACAUCUUUGGAGACUGGAGAUUUCCUCAAGCAUGCCUUGAAUAUUUGAUGUCGAGAGUCUUCAUCAGGGAGAGGGAUGUAAAUCAGCUGAUCAAGACGGCCUGGACGUAGAAGUGCAGGGUCUAUAAUGUCUGGCCUGUUGGUGGCUCCAAUGAUGAACACAGUUUUCUUCGCAGACAUCCCAUCCAUCUCAGUGAGCAGUUGGUUCAAAACCCUAUCAGCAGCACCCCCAGCAUCUCCAACACUGCUUCCUCUCUGCAUGUAAUGCAGCCAAGAAAAUAAGGUGGAAGUCACUUGCUAAGCAAAAUCAGGACUACAAAAUAUUCAGUCAAUGAGACAAUUAAAAACCCCACAUAUCUCAGAAAAAAACCAAGGGAAAACGAAUGAAGGCAUUUGUACAUAACAAGUUUUGUCUUAUUAGGUGUUCAUUCAAGGAUUAACAAAAAUCAACCACACUGCUUAUUAAAUCAAUUCAGCAAUCUCCAAUCCCACUCUUGUUUCGGCAACAGAAGAUAUCAACUUCGAAACCUCAGAUUACUUUGUGAUGGGUAUUCAUAGAAAGACACAAAGCGCACACAGAAAAUAAUAAUACCAUUGACGACAAUUUGUUCAUUAACUUGAGCAUAAGGGCAGCAUUUACAUCAUACAUAUGUUAUAUAUAAUUCUAGGUUGCCAGUCUACUAAUGAAUAUUUAGUUUUAUCACAUCAAGCAGAUGGAAUUGUAUCUCAUUUAUAACUUUUUUUGAGGAUAAAUUUUAACUCUAGGAUGAGAGAAUAUUGCCUGCAUUCAACCAUUCUCAUCAAUAUUACAAUCAGGAUAUACUCCCAUCCCUAGAUGGUUAUCAAAAUCCAACCCAAGAACAAUACAGAGGUUGAAGAAAACCAAACCUGUGUAGCAAUUGAGUCGAGCUCGUCGAAAAAUAGAACACAGGGGGCAGAUUGUCGGGCUUUGUCAAAAAUUUCACGUACAUUUGCCUCACUCUCUCCAAACCACAUAGUAAGCAACUCAGGGCCUUUCACACUGAUAAAAUUUGCCUGACAUUCAUUGGCUAUAGCUUUAGCCAGAAGAGUUUUGCCACAUCCAGGAGGUCCAUAGAAAAGGACUCCCUUAGAAGGUGACAUUCCAAAUUUCUCAAACUUCUCAGGAUGCUCCACUGGAUAUUGAACAGUCU